CCUACGGGUGGCAGCAGUGGGGAAUAUUGCACAAUGGGGGAAACCCUGAUGCAGCGACGCCGCGUGAGUGAAGAAGUAAUUCGUUAUGUAAAGCUCUAUCAGCAGGGAAGAAAAUGCCGGUACCUGAGUAAGAAGCCCCGGCUAACUACGUGCCAGCAGCCGCGGUAAUACGUAGGGCGCAAGCGUUAUCCGGAUUUACUGGGUGUAAAGGGAGCGUAGACGGCAGUGCAAGUCUGGAGUGAAAGGCGCGGGCUCAACCCCCGGACUGCUCUGGAAACCGGACGGCGGGAGUGGGGGAGAGGUAAGUGGAAUUCCUGGUGUAGCGGUGAAAUGCGUAGAUAUUAGGAGGAACACCAGUGGCGAAGGCGGCAUACUGGACUGUAACUGACGUUGAGGCUCGAAAGCGUGGGGAGCGAACAGGAUUAGAUACCCCAGUAGUC
rnacentral:rRNA from 1 species